GACAGAGGUGCCAAGCGUUAGGCGGAAUCACUGGGCUUAAAGCGUGUGUAGGCGGACCGUUAAGUACCUUGUGAAAUCCCGCGGCUCAACCGCGGAACUGCUUGGUAUACUGGCGGCCUUGAGCCAUCUAGGGGCGACCGGAACAAAUGGUGGAGCGGUGAAAUGCGUAGAUAUCAUUUGGAACGCCAACGGUGAAAACAGGUCGCUGGGGAUGCGCUGACGCUGAGACACGAAAGCCAGGGGAGCAAACGGG
rnacentral:rRNA from 1 species